rnacentral:rRNA from 1 species
GACGUAGGGGGCCAGCGUUGCUCGGAAUUACUGGGCGUAAAGGGUGUGUAGGCGGUUGGAUAAGUGUGGUGUGAAAUCUCCCCGGCUCAACUGGGAGGGUGCGCUACAAACUGUCUGACUAGAGUGUGGGAUGGGAAAGUGGAAUUCCUGGUGUAGCGGUGAAAUGCGUAGAUAUCAGGAGGAACACCGGUGGUGUAGACGGCUUUCUGGACCAUAACUGACGCUGAGACACGAAAGCGUGGGUAGCAAACAGG